GAGGGGGCUGCGGCCGAUUAGCUAGUUGGUGUGGUAAGAGCGCACCAAGGCGAUGAUCGGUAGCUGGUCUGAAGGACGAUCAGCCACACGGGACUGAGACACGGCCCCGACUCCUACGGGAGGCAGCAGCAAGGAAUUUUCCACAAUGGGCGCAAGCCUGAUGGAGCAACGCCGCGUGGGGGAUGACGCGUUUCGGCGUGUAAACCCCUUUUCGAGGGGACGGUACCCUCGGAAUAAGGACCGCUAACUACGUGCCAGCAGCCGCGGUAAGACGUAGUCCGAGCGUUGUCCGGAAUUACUGGGCGUAAGCGCGCGCAGCGGAUUGUCGCAUCAUCGGUGAAGCCCCCCGCUUAACGGGGGAGGUCCGGUGAGAUGGGCAUCUGGAGGCAGGGAGAGGCAGUGGAAUCCGGGUGUAGUGUGAAAUGCGUAGAGAUCGGAAGGAACACCAGUGGAUCACAGUGAAUUCGC
rnacentral:rRNA from 1 species